GUCACCCAUGACUCUUAUGCUGUCAGGAUUUGGUCCAAUAAAAUUGAUUCCAUGCUCUUUGCACAUAUCAACAAAACCAGCAUUCUCAGCCAAAAAACCAUACCCCGGAUGCAACAUCGUACAUCCAUGGCUAACAGCAGCAGACAAAACAUUCGGAACUAGCAGAUAUGAUUGACUACUCGGUGCUUCACCGAUGCACACGGCCUCGUCCGCGAGCCGCACGUGAAGAGCAUCGCGAUCUAUCGUCGAGUACACAGCAACACACGG
rnacentral:misc_RNA from 1 species